rnacentral:lncRNA from 1 species
AGAAAGUAUUGCUGUCUAUUCACGUCUUGUUUUCCUAAGAAACAGAGAAAUCUUUUCUAACAUACUUAUCCUCUGUAAUUUUCUCUAAGGUCGAUCUUGGCUGGUAUUUCGUACCCAACUAUGUAACCAAGUGUCCAGGGCCACCUCUAGACAGCCGGGUGAUUCUUUUUGUUAUAGUCUUGUGUAUGUCGUCGAUGCAAUGAUGUUUGUGCUGGGAUGCACUACCAGAGCUACAUUGGAGAUCUCUCAUUUUGCUGCGAGGUUGGUUUGCUGCGAGGUUGGCAUAUGGCUAAAACUCGCCUUGUUCGAGCACAGAGCCGCCAUCCAUCACGAGGAGCAUAACUAUAUUAAGUAAAAUAUUUUAGUCCACCAAGUACUUCAUUAAUAUUUUCCACCCUACGAUUUUAAAUAAAGAAAAGGUGUGUGUCUCCUCCUUCUUCUUUUUUCUCACAAUGCAACAUUAUAUAAUAAAUUUACUUAAUAUUUCAUAAUUACCCAAAAGACUUAGAUCUGGUAAUCAUGCCAGAAUUAAGAGACUGAGUCUCUUUACUGUAAUUUUCUCUAAGGUCGAUCUUGGCUGGUAUUUCGUACCCAACUAUGUAACCAAGUGUCCAUGGCCACCUCUAGACAGCCAGGGGAUUCUUUUUGUUAUAGUCUUGUGUAUGUCGUUGAUGCAAUAAUAUAUAUAUUUUUUUUCGGAGCAGUUUUUUUUUCUUCUUUUGUUUUUUUUUCUAGCAUUUUUUUGUUUUUUUUCUUUUGUUUUUUUUUUCUGGAGUAUUUUUUUUCCUGCUUUUGUUUCUUCUUUUUUUUUUUAUAUAUAUUUUUUUUACCCAAAAUUGACUUUUUUGUUUUUCUUUUUUUUAAUUUUUUUCAAAAUUAUAUUUGCUAAUUUUUUUAAAUAUUGAGCUGGUUGAAAAUUUAACUGUAUCUUUUUUUUUAAAAACAUUGUGGAUUACUAUAAUAUUCUCAUACAUUGUUUUUUUUUGUGAUUUUUUUUUAAAAUGGUUUUUGUAGAUUUUAUUUUUUUAUAUUGAGUUGGUUGAGAAUUUAGCUUUGUAGUUUUUUUUUUUUUAAAAAAAACAAUAUGGAUUGCUACAGUGUUUCCCCUAUAUAGUUUUUGUUUUGUGCAGUGUUUCCCCAUAUAUUUUUUUAAAAAAUUAUCUUUAUCGAAUUUAUUUUUUCAAUAUUGAGCUGGCUGAUAAUAGCUUUAGCUUUCCCCACAUGUUUUUUUUAUUUCUUUUUCUUUUUUUCACAAAUUGUCAUUUUUUACAUUUUUUUUCAGAAUUUUUUUGUUGAUUUUAUUUUUUUUGCUAUUGAGCUGGUUGAAAUUUUAGUUUUUUUGGUUUUUUCUUUAAAAACUGUAGCUUUCCCCGCGUGUUUUUUUCUCGCUUUUGUUUCUUUUUUUUACAUGUUUUUUUUUUCAUUUCUUUUACCCAAAAUUGACUUUUUUUUUUAAAUAGUCUUUGUCAGUUUUUUUUAUAUAUUGAGCUGGUUGAGAACUUAGUUUUUUUUUUUUAAAAAAAAAAAACACUAUGGAUUGCUACAGUGUUUCCCUUACAUGGUUUUUGUUUGGCUGCAGUGUUUCCCCCACAUGUUUUUUUUUUAAAUUAUCUUUGUCAAAUUUAUUUUUUCAAUAUUGAAUUGGUUGAGAAUUUAGCUUUAGCUUUAGCUUUCCCCACGUUUUUUUUUUUAAAAUUUUUUUCCAAAAUUGUCUUUCUUCUUUAUAUUUAUUUUUUUUUCAUAAUUAUUUUUGUUGAUUUUAUUUUUUUUACUAUUGGGCUGAUUGAUAAUUUAGUUUUUUAAUUUUUUUUCUUUAAAACACUAGAUUGCUGCAGUAUUUCUCUAAAUGGUUUUUUAUUAAAUAAUUUUUUUUUCAAAAUUAUCUUUGUCGAUUUUAUUUUUUUCAUAUUAAAUUGAUUGAGAAUUUAGCUUUAUAGUUAUUUAAAACACUAUAGAUUGCUACCGUGUUUUCCCACAUGAUUUUUGCCUUGCUACAUUGUUUCCCCAUAUAUUUUUUUUAUCGAUGUUUUUUUUCAUACUGAACCGGUUAACAAUUUAGCUUUUUUUUCCUUAAAACAUUGUUGAUUGCUAUAGUUUUUUUCAAUAUGCUUUUUUUUUUCUUAUGUUUUUUUUUAAUUGUCUUUGUCGUUUUUAUUGUUUUUGAUAUUGAGCUGGUUAAAAAUUAUAAUUGUAGAUUUUCUCAUGAAACACUAUAGAUUGUUAUAGUGUUUCCCUGGAUGUUUUUUUUCCUUUCGUUUUUUUUAUAUAUUUGUCAAAAUUAUCUUUAUUGAAUUUUGGUUUUUAAUAUUGAGCUGGUUGAGAAUUAUAGUUGUAUAUUUCCUCACAAAACAUUAUAGAUUGUUACAGUAUUUUCUUAAAUGAUUUUAAUAUUUAGCUGGUUGAAAAUUUAGCUUUAACUUUCCCCAUAUGUUUUUUUUCCAUUUUUUUAUUAUUUGCUUUUUGCUUUUUUUUUCUUCCAAAAUUGUCAUCUUCUUUUUUUCAUUUUUUUUGUUGUUUUUUUUAUAAUUGUUUUUUGAUUUUUUUUUAAUAUUGAGCUGGUUGAGAAUAUAGCUUUUAGUUUUUUCCUUUAAAAUAUUGUGGAUGGUAACAUUUUUUUUAUAUGAUUUUUUUCACAAAUCCACAAUAAUGCACAAGCAUGCUACAAGCCGCGGCAUCGCACGGCAUGUCACGCCUUUUACUAAUAUAUUUACUUAUUAAUAUUAUAUAUUAUAUAUUAUAUUAUAUUAUAAUUAUAAUUAUUAUUAUAUUUUGUUAUUAUAUUAUUAUAUAUACUAUUUUUUUCUUUUUUUCUCUUUUUAAUUUUUUUAAUGAAUUUUUUUGUUUGAUUUAGUUUGUUAAUGUUAAUUUUUUUUAUUUAGUUAUCAGAUUUUCAUGAUACGAUCUCGGGUUUGAUGGUUGCCUGAUUUGAUAAGUUAUUUUUUUCAUUUAGUUUAAUUUGUUAAAAUUAAUUUUCUUUCUAUUUAAUUAUCAGACUUUCAUACUUUCAUGACACGUGUCCUGGGUUGACGGGUUAACUUGGUUUGAUGGGUUAACCCAGUUAAUUCUGAGUAAAGCCGUCAUUUGUUUUUAUAUUUAGUUGUUAAACUUUCAUUAUGUGAAUCCCAGGUUUUACGGGUUAACCUGGUUUAAAGAGUUAACCAAAUUAAUUUAAUUUUUUUCUUUUUCUUCAUUAGUUUUUUCCUUUAUGUUGAUUUUUUUUCUUUGUUUUUUUUAAUCAAUCUAUUUAAUUAUCACAGUUUUAUGACAUGACCUUAUAGCUAGACCCACAUCCAAUAUUCUUGGGUCCGGUGCUACAGUCAGACUCACUUAAACUUGGGUCAUGCAAGUUUAAUUUUAUUAUUAAUAUUAUAAAUAUUACUCUUAUGUCAAGCGUUGCAGCCAAACCCAAGAUUCUUGGAUAUAGCUUUUCAAAAAAACCCAAGAUUUUUAAAUUUUUAUUUGUUUUGAUAUUUUUUAUACAAAAAAAAAAUGACCCGCGGCAUCCCGCGCGGGUCAAGUAUCUAGUAUGAUUGAAUUUCCGUCAAGGUUAACACAAGUCCAAAUUCCAUUAUCUUUCCGGAUUAAAAUAAUUAAUUAAUUAUCAAAAUUAAUUAAUGCAUGUAUAGCACAUGGGUGCUUUUAUCGAUGCUUACUGUUGUCACUGUGCUAUGCCGUGGGAGAAUUCUAAGUUUAUUUUGAACAUGAUAAAAAACAUAAAUCAAUAUCAUAAAUGUGUUUUAUUGCAUUAUAUUUUUUUUUAGUUGAUAAAGAUAAACAUACUAUUUAAGUUUAAUAAAUAAAUUAAAACAAUAUAUAAAUUGAUAAGUUAUAAAAGAAUUAUUAAUUCUAAUUAAAUACAUAAAAAAAAAAAUAAUAUUUUUUUAAAAACAAAAGAGAGUUGAGUAUACAAAUAUCUAACACCAAUUUUUUUAAUUUAUGUGCUCUUAUUUUUUUUAUUUGAGGAUUAUUUUUUCUUGCCAAGAACAAAUUAUUUGCAUUUUUAUAACACAUCAUGUGCAAAUAAAUCUUAUUUUUAUAAAAUAAAUAUAAAAAACUUAAAAAUAAAUUAUAGUAAUCUUUUGAAAACAUUAUAAAAAUACAAAAUAGCUUUUAAAAAAUAACUGCUGCUUAAAAAAAAACUAAAAAUAAAUAAAAAUCAGAGAGAGGGCAUUUAUUUGCAUGAUGUAUAUAUUAAUUACGAGAUCAGCUAUUGAGAAUUUGAUAGAGAUCUUAAAAUUCAGACCAUAAACAUUAUUUGACUGGAAAGAAAUGUUUCAAGCAAAACCAACUAGAAUUUGGGUAGACUAAGAUUUUGAACCAGAUAAAAUCUAUUUUUAAUUUAUUUUAUAUUUUAAUCUAGAACGUAAUAUACCGGCUACUUCAAACGAAACUGACUGAAAUUGAAAACCUGCUGGGUAGUAUAUAUCGUUCUCUUGGUAUAAUAAAAGGCAUUAGGUUUGAAUGCAAGAUUUCUAUAUAUAUCAAAUCUAGACGGCAGACAUUCAUUAUGAGUUUAUUGAACAGCCCUAGAAAAUGCACAAGGCUCAUCAAAUACGCAAUAAUCAUGUUAUAUAUGGAUCAAUUUCGAACACGGGCUAAUAUUGUUAUUAUAAUUGCUGAGGAAAAAUUUCAAGUCAAAACAUGAAGUAAAUAUUUUCAAUUAAAUCGGUGCAAUUUGGUGCUGGUCGAAGAAUUUGUCCUGGUAUAUUUAUGGGAAUUGCCACCGUGGAGCUUUCACUUUCUAAUCUUCUCUACAAAUUCUACUGGGAAAUGCCUGGUGGGAUGAAGAGGGAAGACAUAGACAUCGAUCAUACGCAACCCGGUAUUGCUAUGCAUACGAGGGACGCUCUCUGCCUCGUGCCUAAGGCCUAUAUAUGCUGUGAUGGGCAAUGAUGCGUAAAGGAAUUGUGGACAUCAUCAUGAAUUAGGUGCCGUUUGGCACUGCGAUGCAACUUGUUUUUUGUAAAAAUUUUUUUAAAAAAAUUUGUUAAAAUUAAGUUUAGUUUGUAUUUUUUGGAUCAUUUUGAUGUGCUGAUAGCAAAAAUAAUUUUUAAAAAAUAAAAAAAUAUUAUUGGCAUACUUUUCGACACGAAAAGCUAUUUGAAAAGCAACUGCUACCACACUCCCAAACACCCUCUAAAACACGAAGCUGCCCAUGAUCAGUAGUUUUUUUGUUUUUUAAGGUUUGCGCGUUGUGUGUAAUAAUAAGAAUAAACGACGGGGCUUAAUAUGAAGAUUGGCCUCGAAUAAUUUUCACGCAAGCUCCGUUAAAUUUUUUCUCCCUGUUCCCCUGCUACUCUCUGCCUUUUAAAAGGCUAGAGAGCUUUAACAACCAUUACCCCACGAACGGAAUCGUGGUCCACGAUUUACUGCAGAUUUCCUGUUGAAUCGAUUUUCUUCGUGCGAAACGGAAGGGAUGAAGAACAAAGCUUCCAAACGGCGCCGUUUGUAUCCUUGAGGUUAUUUUUCACUUUGAUCCCUGAACGUUUUAAACUUAACAAUUGGGAUCUUAAUCAGGAAUAAUCAAUUUCUAAUUGUGCCAUUGGAUUAAUUUCAAUUGAACCCUCAGUUAUAGUGCCAUUUACACAACAAUCUUGGGUUUCUGGACUAUUCAAUUUAGUUCUUGGACUUUAAUUUUCUAGCAAUUUUUCUUUGAAUAAGCUCCAAACUUUGGUAUUUUUUCAAUUAAACCCCUGAUUCCUUUAAUUAAGUCUUCAAACUCAUCAAUUAUUCAAUUAAACUCUUGAUUUCAUUAAUUAAAAUAAUCUAAAUUUUAAUUAAAUCUAUUCUCCAAUUAAACCCUUGAUUUAAUUAAUUAAACUAGUCAAUAGUUUAAUUAAAUCUUUAAACUUUCAAUCAUGUUGUCUUUAACCAAAUUUUAAUUCAUUCUUCAUUUAUUUUAUUUUUACUUGUUUUUCAUUAUUUUUUUAAAAAUAAAAUAAUUAAAAAAAAGGUCAAAAAUUGAGUUAUGACAGUUACUCACUCUUUAUAAUAUUUACUAUACAAAGACAUUGGAAAUUUUUUAUUUUCUUUAGCUUUGUGUAGUAAAUUUAUAAAGAAAAGUAGAUAUGAAAAGGAGUUUUGAAAACUUCGAAAACAGUAGAUUGACAUGAUUUUUACGGAAAGAACAUGCCAUUUUUUUUUUGUUUUUUUUUUAUAUAUAAAAUGGAUUAAAUUGUUUUAAAUAACCUACCCGAUGAUAAAAAAACCGUGAAUAAUUUUAUGAGUAGUUUAAUUGUUCCAUACGACCGGUAUUACUAUGAAUACAAGGGACGCUCUCUGCCUCGUGCCUAAGGCCUAUGCUGUGAUGGGCAAUGAUGCGCCGCCCAUGAUCAGUAGUUUUUUGUUUUUCAAGGUUUGCAUGCUGUGUGUACUGAUUAGAAUUAACGACGGAGCUUAAUAUGAUUAGAAUAAUUUUCACGCAAGCUCCGUUAAAUUUUUAAGCAGCCCAUGCUUAAUCUAAUAAUGGAUCUUUCAUUAAUACAUGUCUGGAUUAUGCUCCAUUCUUUAUUUUAGCAAGCCCGUAUUGAACAAAUUAAUGGAAAUAGCUAAUAAUCAUGAGCUCCGGUGCCUUUAUGCCCCAUUUUCCCAUCACACACAAGCUUAGGCACAAGGCAGAGAGCCUCCCUCAUAUGAGGAACAAGACCGGGAAGCACAUCAUCCAUGUCUAUAUCUUCCACCCCGGUUGGCAUUUCCCAGUCAAAUUUAUGAAGAAGAUUCGCAAGUGAAAGCUCCACAGUGGCGAGUGCAAGAAAUAUCCCAGGACAAAUUCUUCGACCAGCACCAAAUGGUAUGAGCUCAAAAUCAUUUCCUCUCACAUCAAUGGAACUGCCCAAGAAUCUAUCAGGAUCGAACUCGUAUGGGUUCUCCCAAGCUUCCGGGUCCCUUCCAACAGCCCAAGCACUCACGUAAACUAAGGUCUUGGCUGGUAUUUCGUACCCUCCUACGGAACACUCCUUCGUUGUUUCUCUUGGGAUCAGUAGAGGUGCUGCUGGUUGCAAUCUCAUGGUCUCUUUAACCACAGCUUUCAGGUAAGGCAAUUGUUGAACAUCAUCUUCAUGCACAAAACCUUUAUUUCCAAAUAAAUUUCUAACUUCUUCUUGAGCUUUUCGCAUUGCUUUAGGAUUCUUCAUUAGAAAGGUCAUGGCCCAAUUCACAGUAACUGCACUUGUGUCUGUCCCCGCAACAAAUAUGUCCUGCAAGGACGCAAAAGAAAUUUAAAUUGAGAAUAAUACUACAAAAAUAUAUACCAUUUUUUUCUGUAUUAUUUACUGAGAACUAGAUAUACACAAAGAUUAUUAAACCUUGCUGGGCUUAAUCAAUUAAAAUAAUAUUAUUUUAAAUUAUUUUAAAUUCAAUAUAUUUUAAUAAAGCUGAUCAAAUUCUAAAUUGAAUUGUCAAGUAGUUUAAUUUGACCAAGUCAAUUAUCACUUGAAUUUUUUAAAAUUCAACUUAACUACAUCUUAGAUUAACCUAGCAGGCCUGACCAAGUUAAUACAAGCUCGAGUUUCUUUUUCAAUCGGCCAUCUACUUGGUUUUAAAAUACAAAUUAACGAAUUAAACCUCACUUAGCUUUAUCAAUUAAAAUAAUAAUAUUUUUUAAUUAUUUUAAGUUUAAUAUACCUUAAUAAAGCUGAUCAAAUUCUAAAUUGAAUUGUCAAGUAAGUCAAUUAUCACUCAAUUUUUUUUUAAAAAAUUCAACUUAACAAGAUCUUAGAUAAAAUUAACAGCCUGACCAAGUUAGUACAAGCUCGAGUUUCUUUUUUAAUCAGCGGUCUAUUUAGUUUUAGGAUACGCAUCAACAAAUUAUUAUUCUUUUUCCUCACCAAAAUAUUCUCUCCCUCAUUUAAAUUUAAAUUGAAUCUAAAUCUCGGACUUGGAAAUUCGAACAUUGUACUGAAUAAUAGCUAUAUAUCACUUGGAAUUGAGAAUAAAGAAAAGUAAUGAACAUUGAAUACAAGAUGAAAUUACUUGAGUUUAGAAAUUAUUAGAUUACCGUUAGAAUUGCUUUGAUGUGAUCCAGGGUUAGCUGAACUUUAAAUGAGCCAUCCUUGUAUAUCUGAAGCAAAAAAUCAAGUAUAGUAUCCUCUCUCUCGGGCUUAGGUCUAUUUGGAUCAAGAUUGUCAUCAAUGAUUCUUUUGUAGAAAGCAUCAAAUUCCUUGAAACUCUUUUCCAGACGAUAGGACAGUCCGGUUAGUUUAUCGACGAGCCAGCCCAGGCAAGGAAAAUAAUCCGAAAGGAAAAAGCUUGAAGCCAUAGCCUGGAUUUCGUGAAGCAGCUCUGGGAACCUAUUUUUAUCGCUUCCUCCAAUUUCAUACCUUUUUCCAAAGGCAACUCUGCAUAUUGUUGUGCUUGUGAGAGACACCAUUUCUUCAGUCAAGUUGAAUGGUUUAGAAGCAAGAGCUGAUCUGGAUAUGUUUUCAAUCAUACGAGAAACCUCAUCUUCUCUAAUGGGACGGAAACUUUGUGCUCGAAUUGAGCUAAAGACAUGAACGACACAUAUUUUUUUCAACUCCCUCCAAUAAGCUCCAUAUGGUGCCACAGCCAAGUCUAAGCCAUUGUAGGAAAUUUUUUGCAUGCCAGUCAAGGCAGGCCUACUACAGAAUUCGAGGUCAUGAGUUUUCAAUAUCUCUCUAGCCAUUUUGGCUGAAGAGACUAUGAGGGCUGGCUUGAAGCCUAGCCUCAAGUACAUGAGGGGGCCAUGUUUUUGAGAGAGUUUCCAUAGAUACUGAUGAAGGUUGGAAUUGCCAAGCUGGUGUAAGUUACCGAUGAAGGGAAGACCAUCAGGACCAGGAGGCAAACAGGCCUUUUUAGUGGUUUUGUUUCUCUUGAUCAGAAGAAACAAGAGGAAAACGGGGAGAGAUAGAAUUAGGAAGUCGGAUAAAGCCAUUGUGAUUGAUCUAUGUUCUUUCAAUCACCAUAACAAAAGCUAAGAUACCUCACAGAUUCAUUAUGUACACUCUUACGUGGUUGUGGAUUUCUAUAAUGAAAUUAGUAUUUUGUUUUUAAUUGGCAAAAACAUUUAAUUUUGUUUUAAGGACACGAAAAUCUUUUCCAUAAAAUUUAUUAGUCAUUACAAUAAUAAUUAAGGUUAAAUAACUUUUUUAUAUUUUCAUUACACAGUAUAAUUAUUUUAUUACUCUUUAAAAAAAACAUUAAAUUUUAUUCGAGGGACAUUUUAGUUUUUGACUUAAUUUUCAAUCAUUUAAGUUAUUUCAUCUCCCUUGGAGUUUCAAAGGCUCUGUCUUUGAUUUAGGGGUUUUGUAGUCUUUUACAUUUGAUUAUUUAAUAGUUAUUAAGUGUAAUUAAUUAGGGGCAGCAGGGUGAGCAAAUUAAAAAAAAUAAAUUUGGAAUCAUAUGAACAAUAUCUGUCAAGUUCAGAUUGUAUAUGCGACGCUAUCAUGUGGCCAAAACCUUGCUUCUAAGGCAAUAGUCGGAGAGUCUCAGCAUCCCCCUCUACAUACAAGCAACUCGUGUGCCAAAAUAAUUACCGGUUUGACAUGUGUAACCUCUUAUUUUCUUGUUUUUUUUCUUUUCUCGUACUCGAUUUUCAUGCUAGCCUUCAAGGAAAUCAAAUCAACCCCUAGGACUUGUUAUCCUUAAAAUUAUGUCCCUAUACAAUUUAUAACAAUUUUUAUUUAUUUAAAAUAAUUUAUAAAAUUAAAUAUAUUUUUUUCAAUUUCAUUCACAAUAGAUUUUUUUAUCUAUCAAAUUUAAUUUUCAUUCUUUUAAUUACUAUUUGUUUUAUUUGAGAUAGGUUUUGAAAUUGAUCCCUUUUUUUUUUAACAAUUUCAUCCUCUAACAUUCUUUUUAUUCACUUUCUAUGGGAUUUAUAUUUCUUUUUAAAAUAACAAGGGUUGCCUCCGGUUUAUUUUUUCUGAUAUUUGUUAAAUUUAGCUUUUUUAAAAGAAAUUUUGUAUUUUAUUGAUUUCAUCCUCUGUCAUUUAAUUGACCAGAUGUUGAGCUUUUUAGUUUAGCUCAUGUCUACAAUUUAACUGGUUAUGAGUUUGAUAGAUUAACCUAGAUUUAUGAGGUUUAGCGGCUUACAAGGUUUAUUUGAGUUUGCUUGGUUUUCUUCUUCUUCUUCUUCUUUUUUUUUUUCUGGUUUCAUCUACCAACAUUUUGGUAUUCACAUUCUUUGAGAUUUUUCUGUGGUUUUGAAAGUAACUCGAUUUUUUUUUACCUUUAUUGAAUCUAGCAUUUUGAAAAAUAAUUUUAUUUUUUAAUUAAAUUAAAUUAAUUGCUUUAUAAUAAGUAUGAGAUGCUCAUUUCAUAGGGUUUUGUUUUUGUAUGUUUUUCGAGUCAUUGCUUUGAUAGCACGAGCAAUCUCUUUCUGUUUCUAAAUUCUUAGAUUUUUCUUACUCAUUUUAAAAAGUUGAUAUUGCAUGAACAUUCCUUUUUAUGUUGGUAAAAAAUUAACCCAGCCCGUAGAGUAGUGCAAGAUACACGCUCCCGCGUGCGCUCACACACUAAAAGGUCUAGGCAUUUCAAUUGUAGCAUUGAACAAUUAAAUGCCAAAACCUUUUUCACCUUGGUCAUCAAAAUUUCUGAGUAUUUCUUUUUUUUUUUUUUAAUUUUAAACUUAGUUUUUUUUAAUUUCAUCCUCCAACACUGAGUUUAAUGAUAUUUGAACUUUAUAAUUUAUUUUAAUUUUAUUUCUAUAGAGAUAUUCCAUUCUCAGUCCAAUCUGGCUUACACGCUUCACGAUUUUGUUUUUGGCAACCCACAUGCCCCAAAACAUGUCCUAUAAAGCUAGGUACCAAUUGCCUUAGUAUGCCCUGACUCUGAUGUGGGAUGUUACAAGCCAUGUUGACUUGAGUUAUUUUUCUCUUUUUUUAAUUAAUUGUUUCUUAACUUCAUCGUUCAAUAUUGGGUUGAUCGGGAACUGAGCUUUAUAACUGUUUUUUAAUUCAUUUUUUAUGAGGUUAUCACAGUUAGGUUAGCUAGGUUGACUUGUUUUUUGUUUUUUUAAUUGAAUAUUUGUUUUCUUCAAUUUAACCCUUCUACAUUGGAUUGAUUGAGAAUUAGACUCUAUAAUUUUUCUCAAUUUGCUUUAUAUGGAGUUAUCCCAGUCUUCUGACCUAAGUUUGGCAUAUUAACCCGGGUUAACUCGAGCAUUUUUUUUUGUUUUUUUUUAAUUUAAUCCUUUAACAUUUGGUUGAUUGAUAAUUGAGAUUUAUAAUUUUUUUUAUUUAAUUUCUAUGAGGUUAUCACAGUUUUAUGACCUGGAUCAUGAGUUAGGCCGGUUGACUUGAGGUUUUCUUGUCAUUUUUUUAGUUGAUUGUUUUUUUCAAUUUUAUUUUUCAAUAUUGAGUUGAUUGGGAAUUAGAUUUCAGAACUUAUUUUGGUUUGCAUUCUAUGAAGUUAUCUCAGUCUUAUAACUCAAGUCAUAGGUUUGGUCGGUUGACUCAAGUUAACUUAGGUGUUUUUUUGUGUUAAUUUUUAAUUGAUUUUUUUAUUCUAUCCUUCAACAUUGGUUUUGAAUGAGAUUGUGCUUCAUAAUUUUUCUUAAUUUACUUUUUAUAAAGUUAUUUAGGUCUUAUCAUCCGGGUUUAAUAGGUUAACCUAAGUUACUUGAACUCCGCUUUUUAGUUGAAUUUUAUUAUUGGAUACUAUGUUGAUUAAUAAUAUGAUUUAAUAUUAUUUUUUAUUUUUUCUAUAAAGUUAUUAAAGUCACAUAAUAUGGGUAAUGAAUUUAAAAGGUUAAUCCGAAUUGAUCCAAGUAGGUUUAAUGUGUUGUCAUUUCAAUAUUUUAAAAAAGAUGUUGUCUUGAUUUUUUUCGAGUCAAAUUAUAUUUUUAUUAAUCGUCUGAGUUGCUUUUAAACCUGUAAAUCAAUCAAAUCAAUCUUCAUAAAAUUUAAUUAUUUUUUUUUGUUAAAGAACACAUUGACAAAUAUUUUUUAUAUAAACAAAAUGUAAUUGAACCUAUAACAUAUCACAAACAUUAAUCUAACUAACAUACUGGCCCGCGCUCCGUGGCAGGUCAAUAACAAUUUUUUUACAAAUCUAAAAAAAAUAUUGAAAGUAUAAGGAAUAUUUUAAGUGUCUUGGGUCUAGUGGUCAUGCCAGAUCCAAGAGACUGAGUCUCUUUGUUAUAUAUUUUUUUAUUUGCUAUAAAAAAUAUAUUUAAAUUACCCUUAAAUUAUCCUAGAUAGAAAUGAUAAUUAAUUAUUUUUAUAAAUGUUUUUUAUUUUUUCUAAAAAAAAAAAUUUAAACCAUCAUUGAAGUAUUCUAAAUAAUUCUUUUUAUAAUUUUUUUAUUUAUUAUAAAAACUAUAUUUAAACUACCAUUGAAAUAUAUUUUGUUAUUAGUAAUGGAGUUUUAAAGGUUCAUGUGGUAAUUGUUUUUUGAUGAAAAAUGAUUGAAUCUGGUUUAAUAGGUCUAAAAACUUUUACCCUAAUUUUUUAAUUAUAAAUUAAUGAUGCAUUAUUUAUUUAGAUUGGUUACGCAUCGCCCAUUUAUUUAUUUAAAAAAACUUAGUACACGUCAUUUUUCUUUUUUAAAAAAACUUAGGCAUACAAGCCUAGACUUUAAAUGUUGUUAGGUAUGCUGGGCCCAAAUUUUAUGCAUCACCCAUUUAUUUAUUUUAAAAAACUUAGUACAUGCCAUUUUUAUGUUUUUAAAAAACUUAGGCAUACAAGCCUAGACUUUAAAUGUUGUUAGGUAUGCCGGGCCCAAAUUUUAAGCACCUAUGCUCAUAUCCCUUUAAGUUUUUUUCUUGAUUUUUUUUUUGCAUUUGUAAUUAGAUUGCUUUUUUAAUAAAUAAAUUUAUUAAAAUAAUAUUUACAUAAUUAUCCAAUUAUGCUAUUAUUUUUAAAUAAUAUUAGUAUCUUUUACAAUAAUAUUAACAAUUAUUUUCGAAAUAAUUAUAUAUGAACCUUGAAUAAUUAAUGUGAAUCAAAUAUUUUUAUUUUUAUUUUUUUAUUGUAAGUUUUUAUAUAUUUCUUUUUCAAAAUUAGUAUUAUUAUAUUUUUAAUACAUUAGUGUCAAAUUUAUCGAUUCAUUAUUUUUUUCUAGUUUUGUUUAGUAAAACUUGCUUUUAGAAUUAUGAUGUUUUUAUUUAAAGAACAAUGCUAUCAAAAGAAGAAGAAUGCAUCAGGAAAAGGGUUUUGAUUAAAGAGAUACGUUUUUCUUUUAUUUCAAAUCGUUAUUUUUUUUAGAUAUUUAUUUUAAUUGCUUUUCGUUUUAAUGCAAUAAGCUACAUUGCUAAAAAAAGGUAUAUUGUAAUUUUUUUUUCAAGUUUAUUAUUCUUAUAUGUUUAUAAUAUAUUCACCUUAAAACUAUUAAUUCAUUUUUUUUUUCAAUUUCUUAUUAAGAUAAGUUCUUGUUUAAAAACAAUACACAUGAUAAAAAAAAAAUGAGAGCAAAAAGAAAGAAUGAGUUAAUAAGGUACAAGGUUUUUUAAGAAAUGGUUACCUUUUUUUUCCUUAUUCUUAAUAGUUAUUUUUUUUUUUGGAUAUUGAUUUUGAUUGAUUUUAGUUUUUUAUGCAAUAAACAACAUUGCCAAAAUCAAAAAAGUUUUUGAAAAAAAAUACAUUAAUAAGGAAAAGAGAAUUCAUACUAACAUAUCACAUUUUUUUUAUAAUAUUUAAAUUAUUUUUUUUUUUGCAAAAAUCCUUUUUUAUUGCCACGUAAUCAAAUAAAAAAUUCAAGAGCAAAGCUGAAUUUGGAUACUUGUCAAUGUACUCAAUUCCUAUAUUGUCAAUUAGGUUCUUGACAGCUACAAGAAAAACGUACUUUGAAUUUGCACCCAAGUUGAUGUUAAAAGACUGACAUCAUCAAUGUCUAUAAAAUAUCUUCUUGAGAGCUGUUCAAAACCACGUAAUUUUCUUAAAAGCAUUUGAAUUUUCUUUUUCCUUGACGAGCACAUCAUCAAUGCCAUCUUCCCUCUUCACCACAGAUGGCAUCAUCAAUGUCUAUAUCUUCCCUCUUCACCACAGAUGUCUAUAUCUUCCCUCUUCACCACAGAUAUCAUUUGAAUUUUCUUCUUUUUUUUUCCUUUCAGAUCAAUAGACCUGCCCAAGAAUCUAUCAGGAUUGAACUCAUAAGCUUAUUAGUGGUAAUAAGACAGAUGCCGAUGGAGCAGAUCAAGACCAGCAACAUGGAAACAAAUCACUCCCAUGAUUACAAAACAAAAAUAGAAAGAGACGUGAAGACAUUGGUUGAGUACUAUGGAAACCAAUCAGCUGAGAAUUAGGCUAUUUAAUUUAUCCAAAUUAAGCAACCUGCACUGCUAUAUAAUAACUAGCCGCCUUUGCAGAAAGUAUUGCUGUCUAUUCACGUCUUGUUUUCCUAAGAAACAGAGAAAUCUUUUCUAACAUACUUAUCCUCUGUAAUUUUCUCUAAGGUCGAUCUUGGCUGGUAUUUCGUACCCAACUAUGUAACCAAGUGUCCAGGGCCACCUCUAGACAGCCGGGGGAUUCUUUUUGUUAUAGUCUUGUGUAUGUCGUUGAUGCAAUGAUGUUUGUGCUGGGAUGAACUAUACCAGAGCUACAUUGGAGAUCUCUCAUUUUGCUGCGAGGUUGGCAUAUGGCUAAAACUCGCCUUGUUUGAGCACAGAGCCGCCAUCCAUCACGAGGAGCAUAACUAUAUUAAGUAAAAUAUUUUAGUCCACGAAGUACUUCAUUAAUAUUUUCCACCCUACGAUUUUAAAUAAAGAAAAGGUGUGUCUCCUUCUUUUUUCUCACAAUGCAACAUUAUAUAAUAAAUUUACUUAACAUUUCAUAAUUACCCAAGAGAUCCAAUCUGAUAGCCAUGCCA